GCUUUUUUAGUAUAAAAGUAUAUUUGGCUUCCAACCAAAAGGUCUAAACUAAGUUUAGAAAAAGCA
rnacentral:tRNA from 1 species